GCCUCUUCGAAGAGUUGUAAAUUAGUAAAAUUUAUCUUAUUCGUGGUCACGAAAGAACUGAUAGAUACUACGUAAUGCCGAGAAGGAACGGACCGUUCCAGUGUCAAAUAAUGGAAAGUGAAUUUCUCGAGCCUGUAAAACUUGGAUGUGCGGAACAGCGAUGGCACGAAAAGGCGGAAGCCAAAAUGGCGGUAUUCGAAAUUGGAGAUGACCGGUCUGAUACAUACUUCGACCUCGGUUCGGUCUUUCGUUAUUUUAUUUUCGAAAUAGUGAAUAUUCACGGUAUUGCUGACCGUAGAAAUUUACGAAUGGAAAAAUGACAGUCG